rnacentral:tRNA from 1 species
AUUUAUGUAGCUUAUGUAAAAGCGUGGCAUUGAAGAUGCUGAGAUAAUAGUUAUUGUUUUUAAAUA